GACGAACGCUGGCGGCGUGCCUAAUACAUGCAAGUCGAGCGCAGGAAAUCGACGGAACCCUUCGGGGGGAAGUCGACGGAAUGAGCGGCGGACGGGUGAGUAACACGUAAAGAACCUGCCCUCAGGUCUGGGAUAACCACGAGAAAUCGGGGCUAAUACCGGAUGGGUCAUCGGACCGCAUGGUCCGAGGAUGAAAGGCGCUUCGGCGUCGCCUGGGGAUGGCUUUGCGGUGCAUUAGCUAGUUGGUGGGGUAAUGGCCCACCAAGGCGACGAUGCAUGGCCGACCUGAGAGGGUGAUCAGCCACACUGGGACUGAGACACGGCCCAGACUCCUACGGGAGGCAGCAGUAGUGAAUCUUCCACAAUGGACGAAAGUCUGAUGGAGCAACGCCGCGUGAACGAUGAAGGCCUUCGGGUCGUAAAGUUCUGUUGUAAGGGAAGAACAAGUGCCGCAGGCAAUGGCGGCACCUUGACGGUACCUUGCGAGAAAGCCACGGCUAACUACGUGCCAGCCGCCGCCGUAAAAC
rnacentral:rRNA from 1 species